GACGAACGCUGGCGGCGUGCCUAAUACAUGCAAGUCGAGCGGAACUGGGGGAGCUUGCUCCUUCCAGUUUAGCGGCGGACGGGUGAGUAACACGUGGGCAACCUGCCCUGCAGAUCGGGAUAACUCCGGGAAACCGGUGCUAAUACCGAAUAGCUUGGCGCCUCUCCUGAGGCGCCACGGAAAGACGGUUUCGGCUGUCACUGCAGGAUGGGGCCGCGGCGCAUUAGCUAGUUGGGGGGGUAACGGCCCACCAAGGCGACGAUGCGUAGCCGACCUGAGAGGGUGACCGGCCACACUGGGACUGAGACACGGCCCAGACUCCUACGGGAGGCAGCAGUAGGGAAUCUUCCGCAAUGGACGCAAGUCUGACGGAGCAACGCCGCGUGAGUGACGAAGGUUUUCGGAUCGUAAAACUCUGUUGUGAGGGAAGAACACGUACCAACUAACUAUUGGUACCUUGACGGUACCUCACCAGAAAGCCACGGCUAACUACGUGCCAGCCGCCGCAGUAA
rnacentral:rRNA from 1 species